UACGUAGGUGGCAAGCGUUGUCCGGAUUUACUGGGCGUAAAGCGAGCGCAGGCGGACUGUUAAGUAGGAAGUGAAAGGUCGGAGCUCAACUCCAACAUUGCUUUCUAUACUGGCAGUCUUGAGUCUCGGAGGGGAAAGCGGAACGACACGUGUAGCGGUGAAAUGCGUUGAUAUGUGUCGGAACACCAAUGGCGAAGGCAGCUUUCUGGACGAUGACUGACGCUCAGGCUCGAAAGCCAAGGUAGCGAACAGG
rnacentral:rRNA from 1 species